AUGGUGAAUGGCAAGGUAUGCAAACUAGUGAUUGAUAGUUGCAGCUGCGAGAAUCUUAUCUCCCAGAAGUUGGUGGACCAUUUAAAGCUUGAAACCCAUGAUCAUCCAAAUCCCUACACUAAUGGAUGGAUCAAGAAAGGAGUGAAUAUGAGGAUCACCAAACAAUGCAACCUGCCACUUUCUUUGGGUAAGAAUUAUCGCUCAAAUGUGUUGUGUGAUAUGGUUGACAUGGAUGCCAGCCAUGUUCUUCUUGGGAGGCCUUGGCAAUAUGAUGUGGAUACUACACACAAGGGCAAGGAAAAUUCUUACUCUUUCAUUUGGAACAAGAGAAAGAUCAUUAUCUUAACAAACAAAACCGAAGGUAAUACCUCUAAGGAGGAGGGGAAAACUAUGUUAACUAUCUCCCAUACCUCUCAUGAGUUUAUGGAAGACUUGAAGGAGGCAGAUUUGUGUGCUGCACUUGUUGUAAAGGGAGAAGAGCACCUGACUGUUGAAAUUCCAGCAAAGGUACGUGGUUUAUUGGCAGAAUUUCAUAACAUACUUGGGGAGCCACAUGGCUUGCCACCGAUGAGAGGAAUUCAACAUAGAAUUGACUUAAUUUCGGGAGCAAGUCUUCCUAAUCUUCCACACUAUUGA
rnacentral:rRNA from 1 species